rnacentral:rRNA from 1 species
AAUAGAUACCCCGGUAGUCCACACUGUAAACGUUGAUAACUCGCUGUUGGCGAUACACAGCCAGCGGCUAAGCGCAAGCGAUAAGUUAUCCACCUGGGGAGUACGCCGGCAAGGUUAAAACUCAAAGGAAUUGACGGGGGCCCGCACAAGCAGCGGAGCGUGUGGUUUAAUUCGAUGCUAAGCGAAGAACCUUACCAGGGCUUGACAUGUAAGUGGUACUGAACCGAAAGGCGAGGGACCCGCAAGGGAGCUUACACAGGUGCUGCAUGGUUGUCGUCAGUUCGUGCCGUGAGGUGUUGGGUUAAGUCCCGCAACGAGCGCAACCCUUGUCGCUAGUUAAAUUCUCUAGCGAGACUGCCCCUAAAAGGGAGGAAGGAGGGGAUGAUGUCAAAUCAUCAUGGCUCUUACGGUCCUGGGGCUACACACACGCUACAAUGGCCAGUACAGACGGUUGCUAAAUCGCGAGAUGGAGCCAAUCCGAUAAAGCUGGUCUCAGUUGGGAUUGCAGGCUGAAACCCGCCUGCAUGAACGUG